CCUACGGGAGGCAGCAGUGAGGGAUAUUGGUCAAUGGGGGAAACCCUGAACCAGCAACGCCGCGUGAGGGAAGACGGUUUUCGGAUUGUAAACCUCUGUCCUCUGUGAAGAUAAAGAUGGUAGUAGAGGAGGAAGCUCCGGCUAAUUACGGGCCAGCAGCCGCGGUAAUACGUCGGGAGCAAGCGUUGUCCGGAUUUAUUGGGUGUAAAGGGUGCGUAGGCGGCCCUGCAAGUCAGAAGUGAAAUCCAUGGGCUUAACCCGUGAACUGCUUUUGAAACUGUAGGACUUGAGUGAAGUAGAGGCAGGCGGAAUUCCCGGUGUAGCGGUGAAAUGCGUAGAGAUCGGGAGGAACACCAGUGGCGAAGGCGGCCUACUGGGCUGUAACUGACGCUGAAGCACGAAAGCGUGGGUAGCAAACAGGAUUAGAUACCCCAGUAGUC
rnacentral:rRNA from 1 species